rnacentral:rRNA from 1 species
AGAGUUUGAUCAUGGCUCAGAUUGAACGCUGGCGGCAGGCCUAACACAUGCAAGUCGAGCGGUAGAGAGAAGCUUGCUUCUCUUGAGAGCGGCGGACGGGUGAGUAAUGCCUAGGAAUCUGCCUAGUGGUGGGGGAUAACGUUCGGAAACGGACGCUAAUACCGCAUACGUCCUACGGGAGAAAGCGGGGGAUCUUCGGACCUCGCGCCAUUAGAUGAGCCUAGGUCGGAUUAGCUAGUUGGUGAGGUAAUGGCUCACCAAGGCGACGAUCCGUAACUGGUCUGAGAGGAUGAUCAGUCACACUGGAACUGAGACACGGUCCAGACUCCUACGGGAGGCAGCAGUGGGGAAUAUUGGACAAUGGGCGAAAGCCUGAUCCAGCCAUGCCGCGUGUGUGAAGAAGGUCUUCGGAUUGUAAAGCACUUUAAGUUGGGAGGAAGGGUAGUAACCUAAUACGUUGCUACUUUGACGUUACCGACAGAAUAAGCACCGGCUAACUUCGUGCCAGCAGCCGCGGUAAUACGAAGGGUGCAAGCGUUAAUCGGAAUUACUGGGCGUAAAGCGCGCGUAGGUGGUUCAGUAAGUUGGAAGUGAAAUCCCCGGGCUCAACCUGGGAACUGCUUUCAAAACUGCUGAGCUAGAGUACGGUAGAGGGUGGUGGAAUUUCCUGUGUAGCGGUGAAAUGCGUAGAUAUAGGAAGGAACACCAGUGGCGAAGGCGACCACCUGGACUGAUACUGACACUGAGGUGCGAAAGCGUGGGGAGCAAACAGGAUUAGAUACCCUGGUAGUCCACGCCGUAAACGAUGUCAACUAGCCGUUGGAAU